rnacentral:rRNA from 1 species
GUGGAGCCUGCGGCUUAAUUUGACUCAACACGGGGAACCUCACCGGGCCCGGACACCAGAAGGAUUGACAGAUUAAGAGCUCUUUCUCGAUUCGGUGGGUGGUGGUGCAUGGCCGUUCUUAGUUGGUGGAGUGAUUUGUCUGGUUAAUUCCGGUAACGAACGAGACUCUGGCCUACUAAAUAGUCGACGGGCGUUUUGGUGCAUGGGCCCCGUUCGACACAGUCUUCUUAGAGGGAUGAGCAGCGAGUAUAGCUGCAGGAGAUUGAGCAAUAACAGGUCUGUGAUGCCCUUAGAUGUCCUGGGCCGCACGCGCGCUACACUGAAUGGGUUAGCGGGUCGUCCUUCUCCGAGAGGAGCGGGAAAUCGCUUGAAAACCAUUCGUGAUAGGGAUUGGGGCUUGCAAUUGUUUCCCAUGAACGAGGAAUUCCCAGUAAGCGCGAGUCAUCAGCUCGCGUUGAUUAAGUCCCUGCCCUUUGUACACACCGCCCGUCGCUACUACCGAUUGAAUGAUUUAGUGAGGCCUUCGGACUGGCGGUCCCGGACUGGGGCGACGGCGUUUCCCCUCGGGGGCGCCGCCGACCCCGCCGGGACGUGCCGGAAAGAUGUCCAAACUUGAUCAUUUAGAGGAAGUAAAAGUCGUAACAAGGUUUCC